AAAAAAAAAAAAACCUACGCCCGUUCCCGUCCGAUCUCGGAAGCUAAGCAGGACCGGGCCUGGUUAGUACUUGGAUGGGAGACCGCCUGGGAAUACCAGGUGCUGUA
rnacentral:rRNA from 12 species